UACGAAGGGGGCUAGCGUUGCUCGGAAUCACUGGGCGUAAAGCGCACGUAGGCGGCUUUCUGAGUCAGGGGUGAAAUCCUGGAGCUCAACUCCAGAACUGCCUUUGAUACUGGAGAGCUUGAGUCCGGAAGAGGUGAGUGGAACUCCGAGUGUAGAGGUGAAAUUCGUAGAUAUUCGGAAGAACACCAGUGGCGAAGGCGGCUCACUGGUCCGGUACUGACGCUGAGACGCGAAAGCGCGGGGAGCGAACGGG
rnacentral:rRNA from 1 species